ensembl:lncRNA
CUUUCUUACUGAAUCUCUACUCUGAGUCAUGUUACCUGAGAUUAAUUCUAUGUUUACCUGUCAGCCUGGACAAAUGUGCUGUGUGAAGGAUGUAAAUCAAAUCAGAUCUUAACUGCUUACAUUUAAGGAGCCUGGUCAUAUUUAAUUGUAAUAUGAACCAAUGAUUUUCUGAUUGCUGAUUCUAAGAGAGUCUUUGUGGAAAUCCUGUUUGGCUUUUUGUCAUUUUAAUUCUCUUUUCUGUUUUCCAGAACAGUUCUCCACAGUCGCUGUGCACAUGGGUCAGUGGGACCAAGAAGCACUCUGCUAAUGUGAGACUCUGACCAGCAACAUCCAGCAAGACCCAGGCAGCGUUUUCUAUCUCCCAGCUGGAGUUUUUUGUUUGUGACGGGAGAGUCAGAUUUUUGUUGAAGCUGGAGGAACAGAGAGGUUAAUACACGCUACUGAUCCCUGAUGGGAGAAUCAUCACCUCUGCUAACAAAGAAGCCUGGUGGAUAUUUGUUUACAGACUGAUGAUGGGACAUCAUGCUCUGCAUCUUCAAAGUGAAGAGCCUGAGGCCGGUGACACUCCAGUUCUACUCUAAGUACAUCCUUACGGUGGCUCACAGGACAAGGCGACAUUCCUGUCCUGCCAGAAGAGAAGAGAAACUUCAGAGUCUUCAUGAAGUUCAACCAAAACCUGUCAUAUGGAAUAUGACAGGGUCUCAAACUCCAGUCCUCGAAGGCCGGUGUCAUGCAACUUUUCCAUGCCCUCGAGGACUGGAGUUUGAGACCCCUGCCGUAUGGUGUUCAUGCAGUUUUC